rnacentral:rRNA from 1 species
GAUGAACGCUGGCGGCGUGCUUAACACAUGCAAGUCGAACGGUGAAGCCGGAGCUUGCUCUUGUGGAUCAGUGGCGAACGGGUGAGUAACACGUGAGCAACCUGCCCCUGACUCUGGGAUAAGCGCUGGAAACGGCGUCUAAUACUGGAUAUGUGAUGUGACCGCAUGUUCUGCAUCUGGAAAUAAUUUCGGUUGGGGAUGGGCUCGCGGCCUAUCAGCUUGUUGGUGAGGUACUGGCUCACCAAGGCGUCGACGGGUAGCCGGCCUGAGAGGGUGACCGGCGACACUGGGACUGAGACACGGCCCAGACUCCUACGGGAGGCAGCAGUGGGGAAUAUUGCACAAUGGGCGGAAGCCUGAUGCAGCAACGCCGCGUGAGGGAUGACGGCCUUCGGGUUGUAAACCUCUUUUAGCAGGGAAGAAGCGAAAGUGACGGUACCUGCAGAAAAAGCACCGGCUAACUACGUGCCAGCCGCCGCCGUAA